CCUACGGGUGGCAGCAGUGAGGAAUAUUGGUCAAUGGGCGCGAGCCUGAACCAGCCAAGUCGCGUGAGGGAAGACGGUCCUAUGGAUUGUAAACCUCUUUUGUCGGGGAGCAAAAGCCGCCACGCGUGGCGUUCCGAGAGUACCCGAAGAAAAAGCAUCGGCUAAGUCCGUGCCAGCAGCCGCGGUAAUAAGGAGGAUGCGAGCGUUAUCCGGAUUUAUUGGGUUUAAAGGGUGCGCAGGCGGAAGAUCAAGUCAGCGGUAAAAUUGGGAGGCUCAACCUCUUCGAGCCGUUGAAACUGGUGUUCUUGAGUGAGCGAGAAGUAUGCGGAAUGCGUGGUGUAGCGGUGAAAUGCAUAGAUAUCACGCAGAACUCCGAUUGCGAAGGCAGCAUACCGGCGCUCAACUGACGCUCAUGCACGAAAGUGUGGGUAUCGAACAGGAUUAGAUACCCGGGUAGUC
rnacentral:rRNA from 1 species